CUAGACCAGCUGACUUCUCACUGGCUCUGGCUCCUGGAGGAAUGGACAGGCUACUGGGAGUCUCGUUUUUAAUUCUAGGCCUUCACCUCACCUGGGUGAGUGGCCAACAGAAGGGGAAAAGUGACCAGCAGCAGGUGAAGCAAAGUCCUCAAUCUCUGACUGUCCAGGAAGGAGGGAUUUCAACCCUGAACUGUUUUUAUGAGAAAAGUACAUUUGACUACUUCUCAUGGUACCAGCAAUUCCCUGGUAAAGGCCCAGCAUCGUUGAUAGCCUUAAGUUCAGUUAGGACAAAAGCGGAAUUUGGAAGAUUCACAGUUUUCUUCAACAAAAGUGCCAAACAUAUCUCCUUGCACAUCAUGGAUACUCAACCUGCAGACUCAGCCACCUACUUCUGCGCAGCAAGCACACAGUGCUCCCCAGGCACCUGCAACCUGAACUCAAACCUGCAGUUGAGGCUCCAGCAAAGCCCUCUGCAGGGCUUAGACUGGCAGAAAUACAGACUGGCUUUCAUUUGCACAAAUAGGUGA